rnacentral:rRNA from 1 species
AACGCGAAGAACCUUACCUGGGUUUGACAUAUACCGGACGACUGCAGAGAUGUGGUUUCCCUUGUGGUCGGUAUACAGGUGGUGCAUGGCUGUCGUCAGCUCGUGUCGUGAGAUGUUGGGUUAAGUCCCGCAACGAGCGCAACCCUUGUCCUGUGUUGCCAGCACGUAAUGGUGGGGACUCGCAGGAGACUGCCGGGGUCAACUCGGAGGAAGGUGGGGACGACGUCAAGUCAUCAUGCCCCUUAUGUCCAGGGCUUCACACAUGCUACAAUGGUCGGUACAGAGGGCUGCGAUACCGUGAGGUGGAGCGAAUCCCUUAAAGCCGGUCUCAGUUCGGAUCGGGGUCUGCAACUCGACCCCGUGAAGUCGGAGUCGCUAGUAAUCGCAGAUCAGCAACGCUGCGGUGAAUACGUUCCCGGGUCUUGUACACACCG